rnacentral:lncRNA from 1 species
CAUCAAGUCAUAGCUUUGCGGGCAAUAGAUCAGAGGAUACUGCCAGUUUUUCUAAUGGAUUAUUGUUAUCGGGCAGGUUCUUCCUGAAGGCUUUAUUCAGUGAAGUGGCUGUAGCAUGCGUUUCAUGGUGCAGCCUUGACACAGUAAUCCAGCCCUUCUGA